rnacentral:rRNA from 1 species
UAAGCGGAGGAAAAGAAACUAACAAGGAUUCCCCUAGUAACGGCGAGUGAACCGGGAAGAGCUCAAAUUUGAAAUCUGGCGUCCUCAGGGCGUCCGAGUUGUAAUCUAUAGAGGCGUUUUCCGUGCCGGACCGUGUCCAAGUUCCUUGGAACAGGAUAUCAAAGAGGGUGACAAUCCCGUACUUGACACGACGACCGGUGCUCUGUGAUACGUCUUCUACGAGUCGAGUUGUUUGGGAAUGCAGCUCAAAAUGGGUGGUGAGUUCCAUCUAAAGCUAAAUAUUGGCGAGAGACCGAUAGCGAACAAGUACCGUGAGGGAAAGAUGAAAAGCACUUUGGAAAGAGAGUUAAACAGUACGUGAAAUUGUUGAAAGGGAAACGAUUGAAGUCAGUCGUGACCGAGAGGCUCAGCCGGUUCUGCCGGUGUAUUCCCCUCGGUCGGGUCAACAUCAGUUUUGUCCGGUGGAUAAGGGCGGUAGGAAGGUGGCACCCUCGGGUGUGUUAUAGCCUGCCGUCGCAUACAUCGGGUGAGACUGAGGAACGCAGCUCGCCUUUAUGGCCGGGGUUCGCCCACGUCCGAGCUUAGGAUGUUGACAUAAUGGCUUUAAACGACCCGUCUUGAAACAC